UACGUAGGGUGCUAGCGUUGUUCGGAAUCAUUGGGCGUAAAGCGCGUGUAGGCGGUUAGUUAAGUCAGAUGUGAAAUCCCUGGGCUCAACCGAGGAAGUGCAUUUGAAACUAAUUAGCUAGAGAGUGGUAGAGGAAGGUGGAAUUCCGUGUGUAGAGGUGAAAUUCGUAGAUAUACGGAGGAAUACCGGUGGCGAGGGCGGCCUUCUGGACCAUUUCUGACGCUGAGACGCGAAAGCGUGGGGAGCAAACAGG
rnacentral:rRNA from 1 species